rnacentral:lncRNA from 1 species
UUUCCUUCCUCUCUUAUGAAGACCUGGUUGGGAAAUCAGGAGAAGCACAGAGAAUCCUGCUCCCCCUUCAGAGAGAGUUCAAGAAAGCUCACAGCAGUGAACUGUAGCAAAUGGAAACCUUGAUUUCAAUUGCAACACAUUCUUGGGAUUCAUGGAAGAGAUGGAGUCUUGCUAUGUUGCCCAGGCUAGUCAACUCCUGACCUUAAGUGAUACUACUGCCUUGGUCUCCCAAAGUUUUGGGAUUACAGAUGCGAGCCGUAGCAUCUGGUUGCUGUUUUUAGUAAUGAUCACUAAACUGGAUAGAUUACUGGGAUCGAUGUUGUAAUAUGCACAUAGGAGUGCCAGGAACCUGCUAGACAUCGCCUGUGCUUUGCCCUGUAUUUGGAAGCCCAUUGGGAAAUUUGAAAAGGUCUGAGAAGAAUCAUCCCGUCUGUUAAGUGAUAAUUUGAGAAGAAAGAAACAUCGUCCUUGAAGUGCAGAGAGUUGCUUCUCUCUUGACACCUUAGAGGCAAGUCCAGGGAGCAGAAUUAAGUGACAGUAAAAGGAAAAGAUCACAUGUAUCACAGGAAUGAGAAAUCCUUAUGGCUAAGUCAGCUUUCCACAGUUAGGCUACACUUUGAUGUUGGCAAAAGUUUCCCUAGUGGGAGAGACAUAGGGAAAAGGGCAGAGGAAUAAAGAGACAGCUUCACUUACCCAGUCUAAGUAAAGAGGUGAACAGUUCAUCCAUCUAAUAUUUAAUAUGGGCUUCUCUUGUGAAGAGCUGGAAAUGCAUUUAUUAAAGUCUGCAUAAGCAGUUGAGUUAUAACCUCCAAAAUAAACUGGAAGAAAUAAAGGAAAAGAAACUGACUUACUGAAAAGUUUAUAAGCCCUCACAGAGAGCCAAGCUGCAAACAAGAAUCCAUGCAGAGCUGAAGGGAUGUCUCCGGGGGAUUAGUUGCAGAAUUGUUUUCUCUAGUGGAUGCUGUAGUGUAUGGACCGAUUCCUCCAUUGAUGGCCAAACUACUCAUUCCCCCACCUGCUGAGAAUCAGAGUGUGGACGGCUGAUGACUCAUGACUGAGUUCCUUACCAGGAAUUAACCUUGACUGGGCCCAAGUGUAUGCUCCCUGUCUGGGUUCAAAUUAAAAUCCAAAACGUAGUCUAUGUGGGAGUACAGAUACCCAGUCAUCAUGUCUCAGUUUGGGGCAGCUCUGAUGGGUCCUCCCAGUUCUAGAACCAGCUGUAGUCUUUAUUGUAAUGGCAUCAUAGUUCAGCUUGCCCUUGCCUAAUUCUGCUGCCUUCCUUUCUUCACUGGUGUUCUUUCCCAAACAACUCGGGAAUAAAUU